rnacentral:lncRNA from 1 species
AAAGAAAUGUGUUGCUAGCAUAAUGAACUCUCCCCAAAAACUAUCAAUCAAGAUCUUUUAAUUCUUCUGAGGGUAAAUAUUAAGUAAUGAGAACCCGUAACAAAAUCCCCAAAAGACAGUGGUGUAUAAAUGAAUAAGUACUGCAGAAGAAGAACACUAGAUCCACUGAAAACAAGGUAAUUACAGUCCCUGGAAAGGAUUGAGCAAGUAUUGUUUUGCAGGUAGAAACUCAUCUCUGGGCAGCAUGUUACUGUUUCACAAGUUCAGAAACCUUCAACAACAUACCAGUCUUUGACUUUGACAGCUCGUAUUUAAAAUUCCUACGCAAGCAUAAAGUCAUAAACAAUAACUAUUACAGAUGAUUUUCAGAAUUUUUUGGCAACAAGAUCAAAAAUCUGGAUUUUGAGGACAUUUUCUUAAAUUAUUAGGAUUAAUAAGUGGAUGUGGACACUUACGGUGAAAACAUCCUGAUCUAUUACGGUUCACACCUUUGUUGGUUUUGGCUAAAGCCUGCCACAUCAUAUCUGAGAUGUAGUAACACCUGUGAUGUGGGAGAGCAGUAACAACACACAGGAGCUGUUUAAAAGCUAAUUGUGCUUCCUGGGGGAAACAUCUAAAGAGAGAGGAGCUUGAUAUUUUAUUCAUUAAGCUUCUUAUUCUUGCGUCCCGCUGUGACACGAAGCCUCUUCCAACUACAAGGAGAUUUGAGUAUCAAGAUGAAGUCCAAGCUGGUGGUUUUUCUUUUUCUGACUUUUGCUUUUAUCAGUUGCCUUUCAGCUCACCGCCAUCGCCGGGGCAGUCACAGCAGUGAAUCUUUCAGCUUUGAGAGAAGGAAACCAUUCUACGGGUUUCCUUCAGUUUGUUUGCUGUUACCUCGUCUCUGCAUGCCAUCUCUUCCUGUAGCACCAACAAAACCGACAACUACCACAACAACAACACCCAAAACAACAACAACAAUGACAACCCCAACAACAACUACUACCACAACAACAAAACUAACUACAACAACAAAACCAACUACAACAACAGCUCCAACUACAACAACAGCUCCAACUACAACCACAAGCACUCAGACCACUGACAAUCGAGGAGACAACAGGCUAAUUGGAUUGCCCUGACUGUCCAACAACAAGAGAACUGUUCAGAGCAAAAGGAAAUGCUGCCUAUUUGCUGUUUUCUGCACUAAUGAAGCCACAGCUAAAAGCAAAUCUGCACAGCUUUAGAAAUUGAUUGUUGAAUAAAUUGUAGAAACGGUUUAAUCGGCUUUCUGUUUUCAUUUUUUGUGUUUCGCUCAACUUUGUGAAAAAUGAAUUUUUGUCUAAAAUAAACAAGGAAAAUGCUCUUGUAUGCAUGUUUAGAGAAAAGUAACAUUGAGACAAGCACUUAGGGUGUAAUGAGAAGUUGUGUGUGAGAGAGUGCUGACACACUCCAGGGAUGAGUGUAAUCUGGUAAUCCGACCUUGGUGCUUCAUCAGGGAAGUCUGUCAUACCAUCCACCCUCUUACUGAUGUGUUCAUUCACCUCUCUGCACUGUUAGCUUUUCACACGAUGUGGAAAAGAAGAUUUAUCUACAAAGAAUCAAUUUAUGUUUUUGAUUUUAAAUGUUUGUGUCAAAAUAAUAGAAGCAAUUUUCACAUAUCUUUUAUAAUGAAUGCCACCUUUUUUUCUAAGUGUGCUCUUUGGGGCUAACUCUACUAGAAAACUUAUUUUCCUUAAAAUGUGCACUGAAAUAACUUUUAUUUGUGUUAAUUAAAUACAAAAAAAGUAAACUACAAUUGAUUUAAAAACAUUAAUUGUGUUUUUAUCUCCUUGGUAAAAUGGAAAAAAUAAAAUUAAACAAUAAUUAUAAUUAUGAUGAUGAUGACAAAGGUAAUAUUUUUCUUAUUUUUUAUUAUUAUAGAUCCCAGUCAUUUGUUGUUGGAUUUGUUUAAUUUUAUGAUCAUCAGGAUAAUAAUUGGGAAUGGGAAAUUGUCUUUGGUCUUUACAUUUGUCUACUCUUUACGUAGAAAACCAGAUACAGUAGCUGCACUUGUUUGUCAUUGGUUGCAGUCAGUUUAAGGUUUUAGUGACUAUU